UACGUAGGGUGCAAGCGUUGUCCGGAAUUAUUGGGCGUAAAGGGUGCGUAGGCGGUUUGGUAAGUCUGAUGUGAAAUCUAUGGGCUCAACUCAUAGUCUGCAUCGGAAACUGCCGGGCUUGAGUGUGGGAGAGGUGAGUGGAAUUCCUGGUGUAGCGGUGAAAUGCGUAGAUAUUCGGAAGAACACCAGUGGCGAAGGCGACUUACUGGACACAUAUUGACGCUGAGGUGCGAAAGCGUGGGGAGCAAACAGG
rnacentral:rRNA from 1 species